rnacentral:rRNA from 1 species
UACGAAGGAUGCAAGCGUUAUCCGGAUUUAUUGGGUUUAAAGGGUGCGUAGGCGGCUUACUAAGUCAGUGGUGAAAGCCCGGAGCUCAACUCCGGAAUUGCCAUUGAUACUGAUGAGCUUGAGUACACUUGAGGUAGGCGGAAUGUGUCAUGUAGCGGUGAAAUGCUUAGAUAUGACACAGAACACCGAUUGCGAAGGCAGCUUACUAAAGUGUAACUGACGCUGAGGCACGAAAGCGUGGGGAUCAAACAGG